AUACGAAGGGUGCGAGCGUUAAUCGGAAUUACUGGGCGUAAAGCGCGCGUAGGCGGUUGGAUAAGUCGGAUGUGAAAGCCCCGGGCUCAACCUGGGAAUUGCAUUCGAAACUGUCCGGCUAGAGUAUGGUAGAGGGAAGCGGAAUUCCACAUGUAGCGGUGAAAUGCGUAGAUAUGUGGAGGAACACCAGUGGCGAAGGCGGCUUCCUGGACCAAUACUGACGCUGAGGUGCGAAAGCGUGGGGAGCAAACAGGAUUAGAAACCCCGGUAGUCC
rnacentral:rRNA from 1 species